rnacentral:tRNA from 1 species
AGCCCCGGGGUGUGUUACAUAUUAGAUUGCAAAUCUAAAGAAGCAGGAGAAUUACCUGCCGGGGCUU